rnacentral:rRNA from 2 species
UCUGGUGUCAGCCGCCGCGGUAAAACCAGCACCUCAAGUGGUCAGGAUGAUUAUUGGGCCUAAAGCAUCCGUAGCCUGCUUUGUUAGUUUUCGGUUAAAUCCAUACGCUCAACGUAUGGGCUGCCGGGAAUACUGCAAAGCUAGGGAGGGGGAGAGGUAGACGGUACUCGGUAGGAAGGGGUAAAAUCCUUUGAUCUAUUGAUGACCACCUGUGGCGAAGGCGGUCUACCAGAACACGUCCGACGGUGAGGGAUGAAAGCUGGGGGAGCAAACCGGAUUAGAUACCCGGGUAGUCCCAGCUGUAAACUAUGCAAACUCGGUGAUGCAUUGGCUUGAUGCCAAUGCAGUGCCGCAGGGAAGCCGUUAAGUUUGCCGCCUGGGAAGUACGUACGCAAGUAUGAAACUUAAAGGAAUUGGCGGGGGAGCACCACAAGGGGUGAAGCCUGCGGUUCAAUUGGAGUCAACGCCAGAAAUCUUACCCGGAGAGACAGCAGAAUGAAGGUCAAGCUGAAGACUUUACCAGACAAGCU